AACACAUUAUCGCCUUUCUCAAGUGGCCCAUCAAGAGACACUAGCUUAUGCGCGUGACCCCGACCGCCCCCGCCUUUGGGAUUUUUUUCCUCUGUUUGCCGAAAAGGAGAUUCCCUGUCGGAAUUUUACCGCUUUUCUACGAGAAAAAUGACGUAAAAAUUGAUUUUAAACAGCGGUUGACAUGCUUCGACGUACGGCAAUUGAAUACUUUGAACUUUAUUGUCGGGAAUUGCGCCAAGCGCGCGACACUUCUUUACUAUUUCGGAUAGUGUCUGGAACGCACGAACAAAACGCCGCUAUUCGGAUAUAACGAUGGAUUAUUUUGGACCAAACCAACAUUUGUUAUUGAAGUAGACGUCCUGGGUGUGCAUUCUGACGAAGACAACAAAAGAGUCAAAUGUGAGAGGGCAGCCCAGAUGACCAAGUGGCUGAACAUCAUCUGGCCGGAAAACCAGGUUGCGGAAUACAUGAAGGAGACCACGAAUCAGAGGGCUCAGUGGACCAAACAGAAUGGGGCCAAGACAAUCGAGAUAGUCCUAAAGUAUCCGCGUCUGCUGGAUACUCCAAGCACUAUGGAUACACAAGGUGACAUCGCUUUAAGACUUCUGACAGUGGUCCUCCCGACACCAGUCUACAAGA
rnacentral:lncRNA from 1 species